rnacentral:rRNA from 1 species
AUUCCAGCUUCAGUAGCGUAUAUUAAAGUUGUUGCAGUUAAAAAGCUCGUAGUCGCAUUUCUGGCGAGAGGAAUUGGUCCGACAUUUAUUGUGGGUACUCGAUUCUCUCUCGCCAUCCUUGAGUGGUCCGUUCUGGCAUUUAGUUGUCGGAGCGUCAGCCGCUCAUCGUUUACUGUGAGAAAAUUAGAGUGUUCAAAGCAGGCUUAUGCCGUUGAAUAUAUUAGCAUGGAAUAAUAAGAUAGGACCUCGGUGCUAUUUUGUUGGUUUGCGCACAGAGGUAAUGAUGAACAGGGACAGUUGGGGGUAUUUGUAUUUCGUUGUCAGAGGUGAAAUUCUUAGAUUUACGAAAGACAAACUACUGCGAAAGCAUUUACCAAGGAUGUUUUCAUUA